CUUUUGCCAUGCAACUGUCAGCAGCAGCCAUGCAGCAGUAAGUGAUGGAGGCCUGAGAAGUGACCUGUCACCGUUUGCCUCUCCACUGUCCCCUCCAUGCUGCUUAGUGACUCUCCUUGCCCAGCAGGUCUGUUUUCCAAUUACUUCCAGCCAAGCCUGCUUUCCCCUGAAUUUCAUUUCCGGGCCUGUUGAAGCCAAAUUAAUUUUUAAUCACCUUUGAGGUGUUCCGUCUAAUUACCUGAAUUGAACUGACGAGGAGAACAGUGUGUAUGGCGGCGAAACUUUGGGGGCGCUUCUCGGGAAUGGGGAGUGGGGUGUUUCUAGAGUGCUGUGCAGGUGAGGGGGCGUGGCACGCCCAGCGACCUGACAGUGUGAGAGAAAGAAGAGAACCUCGUGAGUCUGCCUCACGUGACACACACAACCCAGAACUUCCUCUUCAGAUCCCUGCAAACACCUGAGCUUGGAAUGGAGACCCUUGCUUAGGAAGGAAAAACCAGCUGAGGAUGUGCUAACAGACAGACAUGUGCCAUCAAGGCCCAUUUGUGUGAUACUGUGGCUGGAACUCAGGUCCUUGUGCAUGUGGGUGGGACCAGCACUCUACCAAUUGAGCUAUGCGGGGACCCUGAAAACAGAUUUUUUUAAAAUUCAUAUUUUUUAAAAUAAAUAAAUAAAUAUAUAAAUAUAUGUGUAUACGUAUAUGUGAGUGUUUUCCCACAGAAGUUUGCAUGUUUGUGCAGAGCUCUGUGAAGCACACCAGACCCCCUAGAAAGAAGAUUGUGGCUUACAUCAGGAUAAACAUCAGUCUGGCAGAUGAACAGCGAGUAUUCUCGACCACUCAGCCAUCUCUCUAGCCCCAGCAAGUAGAUUUCUAACAUUAUUUCACAUUAUUGAAGAAAGUUAAAGUAAUACUUUGUGGUACGUUUUUGCUGGAGGCCAGCAGAACGUGUUUACAUAUUGCCCGUUGCCAACCCUCAGAGGCAGAGGCAAGCAGUAGUGACACACACUGAAUGGACUGCAAAUACUUACUUCUAACCAUUUCCAGAAAAAAACAAAAAAGGCUCUCUGACAUUUGACCCAGGCCAGUUAUGACACUCUUCUCUCUUUUUAACCCAGGCUUCCUUAGGAGUGGCCACUGGUUCUCCUCUGUCAGGCAAAGAUCUGCAGGGGAGACUGGUAUAAAGUCCUGCUGUUCCAAAGGAAAGAGUGGGAUGUGUCUGGGAACUCUCCCACCUACUUCCUGUCUGAACUGUGAGUUAGCCCUGGGGAGCCCACCCAGCCCUCUUUUAGAACCCAUCUCCUGCUGGGAGACAGGAAACACAGGGUCAUGAGUUCAAGUAGAAGGGCUGGGUCCCCGUUGGCUAUUGUCCAGGAGAAGCAGAAUGCCUACCCUGAACACAUGCCCAGAGGUUAGGCUACUUGUAGGAGCCACGACUUGUAGCCUAGGUCCUCGGAGCCACGUGUCUGCCAGGAACUUGUCAGUGGCUCCUGACUGCCAAGCCCACAUCAGUACAUGGAAGGGUGUAAGGUCAACUGAGGUCCACUGCUCCAUUCUGGGGUCCUAGAGGCAGAAUUUCUCAGGGUUCCCUUAUGCCCACAACUCCUAUACCUCUCAAAAGAUAAUGAUAAAAAUAAUGUUGGAUGGUUUGGAGGAUGUUUGAGAGAUGAAUGAAUGAAUGGAUGGAUGAAUGAAUGAAUGAAUGAAUGAAAGCACAUAGUUAUUAAGAGGGAGGUACACAGAAUUGAAAGCAGCCUGAGAGUCUGACCUAGGUAUUACAUUAUUUAACAAAGGAAACUGGGUUUCCAUGACUACAAUUGGCUUUCCUAUGGUCACAAGAGUUAGGAGGGAAAAAGUUGAGAUUCUACCUUAAGGCUGGUUCAACUUCUUGGGUACAGGCCUCUCCGGCCUCAUCUCCUUGGACAUUCCCUGAGGCGAUGCCAGACAUAAUCUGUAGAAGUAGGUGACAAAUCUGCCCCCACCUAAGGGAAAGCAAGAAAGGAAACUCGAUGAGUUUGGACGAUUGCCAGUCACUGCCUCUCCCUCACAUCCCCCAGUUCUGCUCCUAGAAUUGCCAGGAACACGUCACCUCCUUAGCAGGUGCUCGGAACAUAUUUGGAGGAUGAAUGAGUCCCCUCGUAUCAGUGCAAAUUCCUCAGCAAAAAGUCACAGGCUGCAAAACUUU
rnacentral:lncRNA from 1 species